rnacentral:rRNA from 1 species
CUCGGCUCUCGCAUCGAUGAAGAACGUAGCGAAAUGCGAUACUUGGUGUGAAUUGCAGAAUCCCGUGAACCAUCGAGUCUUUGAACGCAAGUUGCGCCCGAAGCCGUCAGGCCGAGGGCACGUCUGCCUGGGCGUCACGCAUCACGUCACCCCCUUCCUGCGACC